CAAUCUGUCCGAGCCAGAUGAAUGCCAUGUGGUUAAUCCCAAAACUGCCAGAGAUACCUACAAGGUGGGCUCUGUAGAGGAUCUUGACAGAGGCAUGUCGGAAAUUCUUCCUGUCAUGAAAGAUGCAUAAAGCAAGAUAAAAUCAAGAUGGUGCUUUUUGCCUCAGGUGUGACAUGUGGGAUGGCGUAUCAUGACGAGAAGGAAUUCAGAAAAUGCAUGCACCCUGGAAAGACGCUCUUUGUUCUGAGCGCCGGUGGAACGGUUGACGGCAUCAAAGCGUGGCAGAGAGCUUCGCCGACCUGCGUGCUAAUGAGAGACAACCAUCCUGCGCCAAUGUGAUUACAAUUGCUUCAUUAAGAGGAUAAGCUGAUAUUGCGUCUUGAAACUUGAGUGCUAGCCACCGCCGCGGCGGCUGUGUUAAUGACUUUUGAUCCGAUACAAUGAAUUAUUAUGACGUCAAAAUAACUAGCCUACAAAAGCUGACAGAAAGUUCCAAGCUCAAGUUUUGCUUGGGGUGAGAACAUCCUGGAUGCAACAACGCUGACACUCUUCAUCAUCGCCUCCAGAGCUGUUCACUCAAAGCAGACAAAGAAAAAACAAAAGGGAUUUAGCAAUACAUGUCAGCAAAGCCAACUGAUGAUGAGAAACCGAACGGGGAGGAGUGUGAUUUUUAUUCUUUCGCGUUUGUGUGCCUCAAGCCUUUGCAAUUUCUACAUUUACAGCCUCUGCACAGUGUAUAUAUAAAAUUAUUGUUAUGGAUUAUGCUGUAAAACAGGGCAUUCUAAUUUAUCGUGGUUUAUGGUUAGAUUAAUUGCAUGACCUUUUAUAGGCACGUAUAAGCAGUGAAGAAGAAGGAAAAUACAAGACUGCAAUAAUAUAGCCGUUCCAAAUAUUUUCAAACUGAAUCGUUAAUGAUUAUCGGAUCAAAUUUGCUGACCUGGAAUAAGUGCGUUGCAAUUACACGAAACGUUUUGACAUUCGAACCCACAACAAAGCUUUUGUCUCCUUCACUCCUCCCUCUGAAAUGAUUUGAGUUGUCCAAUUAUAAUAAGCAAUGUUUUAUGGUAAUUCCAUUUCAAAAAUCCUGUUGCUAAAACAGAUAUUUAUCUCAAUUAUUCAUUAUUCCCAUACCCAAGAUGCAUAGGGCACAUCCCAUUUGCUCGAGGCUGUUCUUCCCCACAAGCGGAAAUAAUUGAAAUGUGGCAGAUGUUUAAUUAUUGCUAUUUCAAAACACAGCCAACCAUAAUGAAGAGUGUAUCUUACCUUGUAUGAAAAUCAUACAUUCAUUCACACUAUGUGUGGGUAAUUAUUUUGCUUGUAAUGAAUGGAGCAGUAAAUUAUAGAGCAGGUGAGUCAAAGGAGAGAAUAACCACGACAUGAAAAGCUGAGGUCGGAUGUUUCUUAUGAAGACGCUAGCAAGGAAACGUAUUACAAGUCAUAGAACAGUAGACCACACACAAUAUCACACAUGAAGAUGUACGAUAUGUGCAAAAGCCAGGUCACAUGAUGGAUCGGUGGCUGAGGUGCAGGACGACUUUUUCCAAAAGGAAACGUGCCGGCCUGAUAUGAUCUGGAAUUCUCCUAAUAACGAGAAUAAACGCAAGGGCACAGAGCUCAAAGGACACCAUCUAUUAUUCAUUUGAAGAUCUCAUGAAUAAAAAAUGAGAUUAUCCCACUCUAUAGGUUUUAAAACGGAAGCAAGAAAACUACUAUUAUCACUAAUUUUCCACUGUAUGGACAACAGUAUGUUCACAAAAUGUCAUAUUAAUAUUUAAUUUCAUUUAAGGGGGGAAAAAAAAAACAGGAAAGGGUUAAUGUCCUGUCAACGCAAAUAAAUAUCUCUGCAUGGAGCAGAAUGUGGACUGAACAAAAAAUGUGCCCACAUCAUCAGAUUUUUAAAAUAAGAUCUCACAAAAAAAAAUAACAGCAUGCAGAAAAUCAUCUGUGAUAAACACGUUUUACAAUUGUCUGUAACUUUUAUAAAACAACUGUGCGAUUGAAUGCCGUAAACUGUUUAUAAGUAACAUUUGCAAAUAAAUUAUACGUACUGGGUGAGCGUAGUCACAUUAAAUACUUCACUUUUUCCUUACUUGGAUAUUAAUCUCAGUUGCCUCAAAUAUGAUACACGGUGGAGUAUAAGAAAGUGCAUGACCCAGACUUCCCGCUCCAUUUGUUGCACGCUAUGUAUUUGACAUGUAGAAUUAAUACCGAUUAAAGGUGACAAACACUUUUAAGAUGUUCUGGCUACACUUGAGAAUGGACGAUUAGUAGAAGAGUAAACGAAAGACACUCAAACAUUACAUUCAAGUCAUCUUUAUGUAUCAUCCGGUUUUAUAAUGAGGUCACCGAUGCAACAUUUUCAUCUUCAUAGUAAUUGGCACUAAAAGACCCCAUAUAGGGGUCCAUCUGGCUUUCCCGUCCUGGUACUCUCAGCCUCCCUAGGCUGAAGCUGCUCGUUUAAUUAAAACAUACCAGGACUGUGACACUUUCAUUAGAGAAGCAGGUUGAGCCCGGCUGAAGUGAUAAGCAUGCCGAGAAAGAAAAGAGACCCAACAGAACUUUUGAGAGGCGGCCAUUGUUCAGCUGACAUGCCAGAAGAAUGAAUACAAACGAGCAAUAAGAGUUACCACCAAUAUCCUCUUGUGAUAUAACUGAAGAAAUACAACCGUCAAUAUAUCAUCGCUAGAACAUUUCAAGAAGAAAUUGCUGGCUUGGAGCUUUUUUCACAUUGUGAUUGAUUACAACUUCAAAAGGUACAGCUCACUGUGGAGCCACCAAACACGGUGGAAGGGUCGCUGGUCACCCUCAGGUUUGUUUGAAUUAGUCAUUGGAAACAGCGGGAACUGAAAUAGGGAAAAUAUUUACCACCCCAGUAUGUUUAUAUUACAAAAAAAAUAUUUAACCAAUCAAAGGUUAUCAUGCACUGCUUUGUUUUUACUAUGCAGUCUUAAUGAAGAUCACUUUUAAUUUGCUCGGCAAUCGGUCGGCUCGGUUAGCUUGUCAGUCCACACAUGGGAAGCCGAGACUCACCGUUACGCUUGAAACAUUUCCAGAGCAGCGACAGCCGCAUGUAUAGUCACGCCGUCAUGCCCUGCAGCUCUCUGCUCCACUCAUUAAGCGAGAACAUCCUGAAUUCGCCCGAGCCGCGGCAUACAUCUAUAUUGGAUGCACUGUCUGAAAAUGAAACACGAUUGUCAAAGUGGUUCGAUUGUUUUUUAAUUUAAAUUUUGGGGCAUGCUUUGUACUUGUAUGAGAGGCUUAGAUGCACAAAUGAAUUGCACAUAGGUGGGCUUUACAUUUCCAAGUGCAUAGGCAAAAGAUCGUUUUUAUUUCUUUGGCGAAUACGAUUACGGCCCACUUUACACUUCUUAUGUUCGCAUUUAUGUUGAACAACACACACUUGGGUUUAAAUGAAGCAUGACGAUGGUCUGUUGUGAACAUCCAAAUGUCCACCAUAUUGCGCUGGUUGACUAUCCCUUAUGUUCCACGUUGAUUUGUUUUAAAUCCACUUGGGUUAAACAGAUCACUCCUAAUUAGGAUUGCGGUUUAUUUUUAACUUGCCACAUUGUUGGUGCAUUCUAUUUUACAUGCUCAUAAAUUAGAAGUGCACUUGCCUAUGUUUCGGUGUUCCGCUGCUACAGCAACACUCCUUCAGUCAAGCAAGGUGCCGAGACGAGUCUCGCUGAAGUGCUUCUGGGUCUACACAUAGCAUUUAACAAAGCCUGAUGAAUAUUCAGACUUCUUUCAUCUGGCUAGGAAAAAAACCCUAGCAGCCAUUUUAGAAAAUAUAGCACAUAAUUAAGACACCUUGAACAAGGCCACUAAAGUCCACUGUUGUCUGAAGCCCCCAAGCUUGUCAUUAACUAAAUUACGGCAGAGCUCAAACUUUGAUUACUGCUACGGGGGUUGAAUGUAUGUUGAUCUAUGGCUGUGGGUGUGAAAGGGACAAGUCACAACGAAUAAAAAGUGUUUUGAGUAGUAAGUGCAUCAAGAGGUGCAUGAAAUACGGUAAUGUUUUGGGGUCAUAUAUUGGUGUAACUCUUCUUCACUAUUUGUUAUUUUGUUUUGCUGGCUCCACGUUUCUUUCCAACUGUGCUGUUGGCAGUUUUGUUAUUUCUUGAUUUUUGCUGGUGUACUAUGUACAGAUUUUGUGUUCAGAAAGGUUGGGUCUGUAUAUUUUUAAAAAAUAAAUGUGUGUAUGGCU